rnacentral:rRNA from 1 species
CUACGGGUUGCACCAGUGGGGAAUAUUGCACAAUGGGGGAAACCCUGAUGCAGCAACGCCGCGUGGAGGAUGACACAUUUCGGUGCGUAAACUCCUUUUAUAUAAGAAGAUAAUGACGGUAUUAUAUGAAUAAGCACCGGCUAACUCCGUGCCAGCAGCCGCGGUAAUACGGGGGGUGCAAGCGUUACUCGGAAUCACUGGGCGUAAAGAGCAUGUAGGCUGGUUUGUAAGUUGGAAGUGAAAUCCUAUGGCUUAACCAUAGAACUGCUUCCAAAACUACUUACCUAGAAUAUGGGAGAGGUAGAUGGAAUUUCUGGUGUAGGGGUAAAAUCCGUAGAGAUCAGAAGGAAUACCGAUUGCGAAGGCGAUCUACUGGAACAUUAUUGACGCUCAGAUGCGAAAGCGUGGGGAGCAAACAGGAUUAGAUACCCGCGUAGUC